GUGAGUGCUGCAGGGCCGCGCG
rnacentral:miRNA from 1 species